GUACACAUGUCUGUAUAUAUGUCAGUCAGAUUUAAAUACAUGAUCUCAAGUACAUGAUUAAACCUUUUUCUAUGCAAGCUUUUCAUAUCGAUAUAAUACAUCAUAGAUAUAUAAAACAACACAUUGUGUUAUCUGUGCUAAGGGAAAUAGACAAAUUGACAAAAAUAUUAUUUCCUCAGUUUAUUUACAUAAUUUGCCCCAAAUAUGUCCUGUACGUAUAGAUUUAUUACCUUACACAAUUUAUUGUCAUUACAAAAUAACGUAAAAAAAAAAAAAAAAACAUCGAACUUUGUAUACAGCUGGUCCAAUGUGUUAAUUGGCUAUCAUUGGUUUCACUUUUAUAAACUUUUAGUUUCGUAUCAUGAAUGAUACUAGUGUUGGAGUAACAUAUACUGUGCUUUAGAAU
rnacentral:lncRNA from 1 species